rnacentral:tRNA from 1 species
GCGCCUGCUUAGUACCAGAUUCAUUGUUACAUGAAGAACAAUGUAAAAUUCUGAUUUUGCAGGCCUCUUUCCCAGACUACGAAUCUGAGGGUCGGGCGUUCGAAUCGCUCCGGGUGCGCCA